rnacentral:rRNA from 1 species
AACGAUGAAGUUCCUUCGGGAAUGGAUUAGUGGCGAACGGGUGAGGAACACGUGAGAAACCUGCCUUUCAUUCUGGGAUAACACCGGGAAACCGGUGCUAAUACCGGAUACUCCAUCUUGGCGGCAUCGCCGAGCUGGGAAAAAAUUUUGAUGAAAGAUGGUCUCGCGGCCUAUCAGCUAGUUGGUGAGGUAAUGGCUCACCAAGGCGACGACGGGUAGCCGGCCUGAGAGGGCGACCGGCCACACUGGGACUGAGACACGGCCCAGACUCCUACGGGAGGCAGCAGUAGGGAAUAUUGGGCAAUGGGCGAAAGCCUGACCCAGCGACGCCGCGUGAGGGAUGAAGGUCUUCGGAUUGUAAACCUCUUUCAGUAGGGAAGAAGCGAAAGUGACGGUACCUAAAGAAGAAGCACCGGCUAACUAUGUGCCAGCAGCCGCGGUAAUACAUAGGGUGCAAGCGUUGUCCGGAAUUAUUGGGCGUAAAGAGCUCGUAGGUCGUUUGUCGCGUCGUUUGUGAAAAUCUGAGGCUCAACCUCAGACCUGCAGUCGAUACGGGCAAACUAGAGUGUGGUAGGGGAGACUGGAAUUCCUGGUGUAGCGGUGGAAUGCGCAGAUAUCAGGAGGAACACCA